CACACACACACACACCUGCACAUAUUUCAUUGCCUUUGUCCUCAGAUUGAUGUCAUCUCAUGCAUGCUUAUAAAAGAAUUAAAAACAAACCAUCAGAACUUCAUUCACGGCAGCGGACAUUCAAGCAGAGAAUCAGCCCCUAGAGCAGAGAAGAGAAACUACAACGGUAUUGCCAUAAUUGCAAAGAUUUGUGUCAUCCUCCUCCUGUUCGUUGCUUCUAGCAACUCUCAGACCCCAAAGCCCAACACAACUGCCCUGGCAGGAAAUACAACUUCCCUGGCAGGAAAUACAACUACCCCGGCCUCCUCCGCCCUCAUCAACAAAAUCAGUCUCUUUUCAGUCGUUGUGGCUGUGAUGACACCUGUGCUCCACUCAGGUUGUUGAUGGUGUUAAGUGUAGUUCUUACUACUUUGUUUUUAAAUUGUUUUUUAUUGUUUUCUGAAUGCUUUUUCAUGUUUUAUGUAAAGCACUUUGAAUUGCCCUGUUGCUGAAAUGUGCUAUAUAAAUACAGCUGCCUUGC